AGAGUUUGAUUAUGGCUCAGAACGUACGCUGGCGGCACGCCUAACACAUGCAAGUCGAACGCAGUAGCAAUACUGAGUGGCAAACGGGUGAGUAUAAUGUGGGAAUCUGCCUUUUGGUUUGGAAUAACACGGGGAAACUUGUGCUAAUACCGGAUAAGCCCUUACGGGGAAAGUUUUAACGCCGAAAGAUGAGCCUGCACUUGAUUAGCUAGUUGGUAAGGUAAAAGCUUACCAAGGCAACGAUCAAUAGCUGUUCUUAGAGGAAGACCAGCCACAUUGGGACUGAGACACGGCCCAGACUCCUACGGGAGGCAGCAGUGGGGAAUCUUGCACAAUGGGGGAAACCCUGAUGCAGCGAUGCCGCGUGAGUGAAGAAGGCCCUUGGGUUGUAAAACUCUUUCGUCGGGGAAGAAAAUGACUGUACCCGAAUAAGAAGGUCCGGCUAACUUCGUGCCAGCAGCCGCGGUAAUACGAAGGGACCUAGCGUAGUUCGGAAUUACUGGGCUUAAAGAGCUCGUAGGUGGUUAAAAAAGUUGAUGGUGAAAUCCCAAGGCUCAACCUUGGAACUGCCAUCAAAACUUUUUAGCUAGAGUGUGAUAGAGGUAAGUGGAAUUUCUAGUGUAGAGGUGAAAUUCGUAGAUAUUAGAAAGAACACCAAAUGCGAAGGCAACUUACUGGGUCACUACUGACACUGAGGAGCGAAAGCAUGGGUAGCGAAGAGGAUUAGAUACCCUCGUAGUCCAUGCCGUAAACGAUGUGUGCUAGACGUUGGAAAUAUAUUUUUCAGUGUCGCAGCGAAAGCAUUAAGCACACCGCCUGGGGAGUACGACCGCAAGGUUAAAACUCAAAUGAAUUGACGGGGACCCGCACAAGCAGUGGAGCAUGU
rnacentral:rRNA from 1 species